rfam:Streptomyces aureofaciens strain ATCC 10762 contig_60, whole genome shotgun sequence.
CUUGAUCGAACCGAGCAGCAGCGGCAGUUCACGGUCCUGCCCGUACGUCGCCAGCAACGCCUGCGCCUC